rnacentral:rRNA from 1 species
UACAGAGGUCUCAACCGUUGUUCGGAUUCAUUGGGCGUAAAGGGUGCGUAGGCGGUCGUGCAAGUCGGAUGUGAAAUCUCAGGGCUCAACCCUGAAACUGCAUUCGAUACUGCGUGGCUAGAGUGCUGGAGAGGAGACUGGAAUUUACGGUGUAGCAGUGAAAUGCAUAGAUAUCGUAAGGAAGACCAGUGGCGAAGGCGAGUCUCUGGACAGCAACUGACGCUGAGGCACGAAGGCCAGGGGAGCAAACGGG